GACGAACGCUGGCGGUGUGCUUCACACAUGCAAGUCGAACGAGGUAGCAAUACCUAGUGGCGGACGGGUGAGUAACGCGUGGGAAUCUGCCUUUAGAUGGGGGAUAACGGGUCGAAAGACUCGCUAAUACCGCAUAUGACGAAAGUUGAAAGGAGUAAUCCGUCUAAAGAUGAGCCCGCGUCCGAUUAGCUAGUUGGUAGAGUAAAAGCCUACCAAGGCGACGAUCGGUAGCUGGUCUGAGAGGAGUGAUCAGCCACAAUGGGACUAGAAGAC
rnacentral:rRNA from 1 species